rnacentral:rRNA from 1 species
AACGAACGCUGGCGGCAUGCCUAACACAUGCAAGUCGAACGAGACCUUCGGGUCUAGUGGCGCACGGGUUCGUAACGCGUGGGAACCUGCCCUUAGGUUCGGAAUAAAUCCCCGAAAGGGGUGCUAAUACCGGAUAAUGUCUUCGGACCAAAGAUUUAUCGCCUUUGGGUGGGCCCGCGUUGGAUUAGCUAGUUGGUAGGGUAAAAGCCUACCAAGGCGACGGUCCAUAGCUGGUCUGAAAAGAUGAUCAGCCACACUGGGACUUAGGCACGGCCCAGACUCCGACGGGGGGCAGCAGUGGGGAAUAUUGGACAAUGGGCGAAAGCCUGAUCCAGCAAUGCCGCGGGAGUGAUGAAGGCCUUAGGGUUGUAAAGCUCUUUUACCCGGGAUGAUAAUGACAGUACCGGGAGAAUAAGCUCCGGCUAACUCCGUG